UCUCGGUUGGGUUGGUAUUGAGGUAAGCAAAGGUCUGUGCCACUGUGGACACGUACAUCUGAUGUAGCUACGCAGCUGAAUUCUACCAAACCCGCGAAGGGUGGUUUAUUCUUAGAGUACAGGUAGUUCAAGACAAAAUUAAUUUGAGGACAUGACUGUAACCUUGAUUCUAAGAUCAGUAAGGGAAGUACAAGAAAAGGGGCGACAGACCCAUUUAAUGUAUAAGCACAGCGGCAAAACUGCAGCAGCUAACCAAAUCCAACGCUGCACCAAAAAUAUUGAAGAAACUGGUUUUUACUACGUUGAAAACCUAAUGAGAAUUUAAAGAAAAUACCUUGAGACUGGUUCCUAAGCAUGUCUAGUUUCUAAAACAUCUCCCUCAGCCUCUCGUGGUCCACAGAAAAAUGUCACGGCCCAGCGCAUGCGCACUUAGUACACGCGUCUUCCACGCAGAUGCCGACGUCGGUGGCGCAGACCGUGGUGCAGAAGGAGAGCGGCCUGCAGCACACCCGGAAGAUGCUGCACAUCGGGGACCCCAGUGUGAAGAAGACGGCCGUCUCCCUGCUGAGGAACUUGUCCCGGAAUCUCUCUCUGCAGAACGAAAUUGCCAAAGAAACCCUGCCGGAUUUGGUUUCCAUCAUUCCUGACACAGUCCCGACAACGGACCUUCUCGUGGAGACGACAGCCUCGGCCUGUUACACGCUCAACAACGUCACCCAGAACAGCUACCAGCACGCCCGGGACCUCCUGAGCACGGGGGGCCUCCGCAAGGUCAUGGCCAUCAGCGCCGGGGACGCGUAAGUCUGCGCCUCUGCCCCCGCCCACUGUGCCCUUCCUGCCCGAGUCAGCCAGCUGGAAAUGUCACAACUGGGAACUCAGUCCUGAGGCUGGAGACACCGGGUGGUCAGGCAAGUGAGGAGCCAAGUCCACCAAGCCACAUGGCCGCCUCCUCUCUCUAAGAUACCGGACAGGGUGACUCGUAGCUUCUCUCAGCAGUGAGUUCCAGCAUUUGACUGAGCUGAUGAGCUGCUUUCCCAGAGCUGUGAUUUCAGGAAGGCAGUGUUAGGCCGGGCAUGGUGGCACCUACAAUCCCAGCCCAAAAGAAGGCUGAAGCAGGAGGGUCACAAAUUCCAGCCCAGCCCAGGCAAUGUAGCAAAUUAUCAAGAUCCUGUCUCAAAAUGUAAAAGAGAAUUUAAAAAUUCUCUGAAUGUUUUGAAUUUUAAAUUUUUUGGAUUGAAAAAUUCGAAAGAAGCCAGGGGUGUAGCUCAGUGUGAAGGCCCUGGUUUCACUGCCCAGCUGUGCAGAAAGCAGAGUGCGGGCCGGGUGCCGGGUGUCCCGGGAGCAGGGAAACGCCCUCUGCCUUGCUUAGAUCUUCAGCGCCAGUGUCGCAUCAGCGCUUAUCAGAAGCAGGCGGGAAGGAGCCUAACGAGGUCGCUCUGGUUCCCAGGUUUUCUCUGUCACAUCUCUUCCACCUCCUCUUCCCUUCCGAGAGUAGAUGUGGUGCACACCGCGUCUCUCUGUGCACCCAAAUCAUUGCUACUAGAGAGCGGAGGGAAGGGGACGUGAAGAUAAUGUUUAUGUUUAUGUGAUUCAGAAUUGUUUGAUUUGUUACAAAUACUGUUUCCUUGGUGCUGAGAACCGAAGCCAGCACGCUCAGCCAGCACGCUCAGCUCAGCCCUGCACGUUACCCUUGCAGAUAACCCCGAGGAAAGCUGUGUAGCCCAGUCCUAAGGCGCUGUGGAGCAGGUGGGCCUCACCUGUCAUGGACGACGGCAGAGGGCACGUGGGGGUGCAGUCAGGGCUCUCGUCCUGCAGGGAGCACACCCUGCUCCACCCCCACCCUGCUGCCUUGGGCCCUGCUACUCUGCAGCUCCCUCAGGCAAAGCUCCCGAGACAGGAGGACUACAGUCAGACUCAGGCCAGGAAAAUGAGCCUGGAGCCCUGGCCAGGGCAUUUGCCAGGGAGCAGGAAACACUGCCCCGACCCCAGCGGCUGGAGAUAGCACUCGCUCAGUCCUUGCAGAAAGAAUGAACCAUUGCCACAAAACAGAAAUGGCCCUUACAAGCAGCCGUCCGAUCUCUAAGCAAAACAGAAAUGGCCCUUACAAGCAGCCGUCCGAUCUCUAAGCAAAACAGA
rnacentral:lncRNA from 1 species